rnacentral:lncRNA from 1 species
UGUGGAUAGUUCCUCUUCUAGUGACCCUACUUCUUGCAAAGAAGCACUCUGUCUGACUUUGAUCAGCUUUGAACUUGAGUUUCUGGGAUUGACUCUCAGCACCAGGCACCUUCUUAUUCUUCUUCUUUUUCUCUUUCUUAAAGGGACGAUGACUAUCUGAAGAAGAUCCUCUCACCAGAUUCACUGUCUCCUUGUGGAGCUGGUGAUCUUUCUCAAAAGUCUGUAGCAACCCCAAC